UGCUACAUAUAUUAUUCACAUCUCUGAGAGAGAAAAGUAAUAGCCAACAAUGAAAUUUCAUUGCCUAAUAAAUUUUAGAAGAAAAAUUGUUCUUUUCAUUUGAUUUGCUUAUAGUCAUAAAUGCUCCAUAGUUCUUUUAAAAGAGUUCACUUGUUCUUCGGAUGGCCUUUUAUGGAUCACUUUGAUCAGAACUGCUGCUGGAAGCCAAGUAGGUCUCAUACUAGAGGUUACAGAAGUUGACAAAUUUAUAUGCACUUAAAAUCUACUUUUGCAAUCAAGUAAACAGGGUCUUAGAGUAUAGACACCUCAAGCUUGGAAGCCCUAGAAGGACUGAGUUGAGAGUCUGACUAAGCAGGUAGGUAAACUGUGAGAGUCAGCUAUUUAUUGUGUUUGGUUCUGGGACACUGCUAGAGUUUUCAAAGUCAGGCAAGCAUUAGGAAGCUCAACUUCAUGUUGAGCCUAAGUCAUGCAGAACAUUAUUUGAAAGGCUAAAUUUUGAGGGCAGUGGAGCUCUAGCCUGGCUUUAUGUAGGGAAUAGGUCACUGCUGAGCAGAAUUCAUCAUAGGUAGUAUAGAGAGGGAUUGUAAAUGGAUCCUGAAAAUAGAUAGAUAAUAACAUGCUGACAUGAUCCUGAGCUAUUCAAAAGCAACAAACAGAUGGUCAUGUGUAAAUAAACAAAUAACUGAAAUCCAAACAUUUCUGAAAGGCUAAUGUCAGAAACCAGAGGUUUAGACCGGGAUGUUUGGAAAUGUAAUUUUGCUUUGUGCAAUGUAAUUGUUGUCUCAGAGGCUUACUGCUGAGUAAGCUCACUUUCUCUAGCUCUUUUUGAACUCUGGAUGGCUGGUUCAACUCAGUUAUUCUUGCUCAAACUCCUCUCUAAGCUGACUAUAUAAAUCUGGCUUCUCUCAACUUCUCACUGAGUUGCUCUGCAUGGACUCAAACUAGCUCUGGCAAUCUGUUCUAAUUUUCCAUCUCCCUCUUAUUCUCUGCUUCAACUGCCUCUGCUGAUCUGCCCUGAACUGAGAAUUCAAUUCCACUGUGCUGCACUCACUGCACUGUCCCCCAACUGAGUCAUUAAACUCACCUUCACUCCACCAUUGAUGGAACUCAAUUGACUCUGAACUCACUGACCUGCCCUGCCCUCUCAAUUAUCAGUCACUUUCAAACUUCACUGCUUCCUCUUAUAAACUAACCUUACUUUCAUUGUUUGGGAUUAACUGUGUGUAUUAAGGUAAUGUCUGCAUUCCAGCCAGAUCACACAAACCUAGAAGGUCUUUGGAUGUGAUCUUGCAACAGCAACUAAAACUCCUCUAUAGAUGUUACAGUGGUUGCAUAUAUUUUGGCAAAAUUAUUGAACAUCAUAGGUAAGUUAUUUCUGGAAAAUGUAAGCAUUCCUCUGCUAAUUUUUCCUCCUGGACCUAAAUAUUUCAUAACCUUUGAAAUGUAUUCUUUUUACUAUUUUGGUUUUUCAUGAGACAGGGUUCUCUGUAUAGCCAUGAUUAUCCUGGAAUGCACUAUGUUGUCCACAAUGGCUUCAAAUUCACUGAAGUCUGCUUGUCUCUGACUCUUGAGUGCUGAGAUUAUUUCUAUGUUCUUGCCGGUUGUGGUGGCGCACGCCGGUAGGAUUUGCUGAAGGAGGCAGAGGCAGGAGGAUCACGAGUUCUAUGUUCUACCACUGCCUGAAAAGGUCUGUUCUUGAGAAGCGUACAAUAUUCUUAACCAAAUCUUACCAAGAAAAAUGAAGAAACAGGUGGCUGACCUUGUUGCUACUCUUCACUUAGGGACAGAACAGAAUAUUGAAUUAACUUAUAAUCAAGUGUGUAGGAAAGAUGUGCUGACAGAGAAUGCUUUAAGUGAAUUUUACUGAUUCAGCUUUUGAAUGUGGACAGAAUAAAAUUCCCAAGGCUUCUGGUUGGAAUGCAACCACAUAGUUCUGAUACUCUAUGAGGAAGAAGCCAUGAGGUUUGCUUUUGAACAUGAGAAGGAAGACUUGAACUUUCCAGAGAAUAGCAGGAUGGGAACAGCUCUGCACCUGAACAUAACAAGUGUGAUUUUUUUUUUCGGUAAGGAUUUUCUGUCAAGCUGUCAUUUUUCUUAUUGCUCACUCAUUGCAGUGUAGACUUGACACAAUUACAAGAAUAUGUAAAAUUAUUCUUAAUAUUUUAAAAGUGGAAUAAUACUGCAUAUUAUUUCAUUUUAAAAGAUAUAAAAAGUACCACAUUUACAUUUUACAAAUGACUUUCCAGAAUUAGCUAGCUAUCAAUGAUUACACUUUUGAAAACCUAAAGUUCAGCUUCUCUAUGUUGUGAAUGCCUGCCAAAGGAAAGAGCUGAGACUUCAGUGCAUUUGAUGUAGAUACUCUCUUGGAAUAAAAGUGUUCCAAAGAUUUCCAUGCCUACAUAAUAAAUGAAUGAGUAAGUAGCCUCAUAAAAUUAUCACUGAGGCAGCAGAUGUCUGCUCAAUACAGUCCUUACAUCUUAAUUCAAUUAUUUUAGUUAAUAUAUAUUUUAAGCUUCAAGAGACAGAACUUAAAAUGGCUUUUGUAUAACUCACUCGACAUGAAUAUUAAGAAGGAACAGAAUUGUCCUAGUCUGUUUUCUAUUGCUGUGAAAAACACCAUGAUCUGUGGAGGAAAGGCUUUAAUUCACUUGUUUGUUCAGAUCACAAUGGAUUAACUCAAACAGGGCAGGAACCCAAAGGUAGAAACUGAUUCCGAGGCCAUGGAGGAACACUGCUUAGAGGUUUCUUUUCCCCAAAUUCUUGUUCCACCUGCUUUCUUACAUAACACAGGCAAACCAGCCCAGAAGUAGCACCACCUACAGACAGGUGGAGCCAUCCACACCAAUGCUUAACCAAGAAAAUGCCUCAUGGACAUUCUCACAGGCCAAUCUGAUGGAAGACAUUUUCAAUUGGCAUUUCACCCUUCCUCAUGUGAAUAGGUUUGUGUCACGUUGGUAAAAACCAACCAACACAAAUAAUUGUCCAAGGACAGGUGGCUGAUGCUUUGAAAUACAGUUUUCCUGGAGAAGGUGGGAGUCAGCUAAUAAAAUGUCCAUUGGAUCCUCAUGCCUGAUUAUCAUCCUUCCUCUCCUUUCAUUUCAGAGAUGUUCCUCAUCUCACUCUGAUUCCCACCCCUUAUGUUGACUACAUCUUAGCACUUAUCAGUUAUUUAUUCUCCUCUUUCUUUUAGGAUGUGCUCUCUCUUGCUACUCUCUUCAUAGUUUAUAAACACAGUACAAUUAUUUUAUUCUAAAGCAAAUUCCCUUUCCCAAUGCUGUUCUUGAAUAUGCCUUUUUGAAUCAAGGACCAGCACUAGCUGGUCAGCUUUUUCCUUCCCCAAACAUUUUUUGCUGAAACAUUCUGUGGCCAUUCUGAAAAGACCUUGUUGGGGACUUUGUACCACCCAGCUAACUGCCAUGUUUAGUUAAAUCUUACCCAAUUUCACUGAAUCAGUUCUUAGCCGGAAUUUUUCCCCUAUAACUCCUUUCUUCAUUGCUUUCUCAGUAAACAACUAUUUCCACAUUCCCGCCUCUGUGCCUCCACAUUGCCCUUGAUCUGCCUUUACUACUCCAUAUUGUCUCUUUUUUUUCUUUUAACUUUUACCUUUAUUUAUAUACAUGAAUGUUUGCCUACAUAUGUUUGUGUGAAAUACCAACAGAAUCCAGAAGAAGGCAGGGGAAGCAUGGAAAUGUACCUACAGCAAAUGUUUAGAUAACAUAUGGUUUCUGGGAAUGGAACCUCGGUCUGCUGUAACAACACUAGUUGUUCUUUUUUUCCCCUCCAUCUUUAUUAACUUGGGUAUUUCUUAUUUACAUUUCAAUUGUUUUUCCAGGCCAACAUCCCCCUAACCUCUCCCCUUCCCCUUCUAUAUGGGUGUUCCCCUCCAUCCUCCCCCCAUUAUCAGGUUCCCCCUAACAAGCCCAUUCACUGGGGGUUCAGUCUUGGCAGGACCAAGGGCUUCCCCUUCCCCUGGUGCCCUUACUAGGCUAUUCAUUGCUACCUAUGCAGUUGGAGCCCAGGGUCAGUCCAGGGAUGGUCUUUGGGUAGUGGCUUAGUCCCUGGAAGCUCUGGUUGGUUGGCAUUGUUGUUCAUAUGGAGUCUCAAGCCCCUUCAAGCUCUUUCAGUCCUUUUUCUGAUUCCUUCAACGGGGGUCCUGUCCUCAGUUCAGUGAUUUGCUGCUGUCAUUCACCUGUGUAUUUGCUGUAUUCUGGCUGUGUCUCUCAGGAGAGAUCUACAUCCGGUUCCUGUCAGCCUGUACUUCUUUGCUUAAUUCAUCUUAUCUAGUUUGGUGGCUGUAUAUGUAUGGGCUCCGAAUGGGUGUUCCUUCUGCCUCUGUUCUAAACGGUGUCUCCCUAUUCCUUCCCAAGGGUAUUCUUGUUCCCCCUUUUAAAGAAGGAAUGAAGCAUUCGCAUUUUGGUCAUCCUUCUUGAGUUUCAGGUGUUCUGUAUAUCUAGGGUAAUUUGAGCAUUUGGACUAAUAUCCACUUAUCAAUGAGUGCAUACCAUGUGUGUUUUUCUGUGAUUGGGUUAGCUCACUCAGGAUGAUAUUUUCCAGUUCCAUCCAUUUGCCUAUGAAUUUCAUAAAGUCGUUGUUUUUGAUAGCUGAGUAAUAUUCCAUUGUGUAGAUGUAUCACAUUUUCUGUAUCCAUUCCACUGUUGAAGGGCAUCUGGGUUCUUUCCAGCUUCUGGCUAUUAUAAAUAAGGCUGCUAUGAACAUAGAGGAGCAUGUGUCUUUGUUAUAUGUUGGGGCAUCUUUUAGGUAUAUACCCAAGAGAGGUAUAGCUGGGUCCUCAGGCAGUUCAAUGUCCAAUUUUCUAAGGAACCUCCAGACUGAUUUCCGGAAUGGUUGUACCAGUCUGCAAUCCCGGUGUUCCCCAUACCCCAUGGCCCCUGCCUCCCACCUUCCAGGUGAGUCUUGCCUUUACUCUGGUGACUUUGUAACCUCUGAACUGUCCAAGGGGUAUCAACCUGCCCAGAGGAUGCUACUUAACUGUUGCUCCCUCAACAGGAAGGGCUACACUGAUGCCUUCAUCCAAUUUCUGAGGCUACAACUUUCCCAAGGUCCCCUGCACUUGUUUACAGUAAUAGCCAAACUGGUCAUCUCAGUGAGAAGAACAACUGAAAAGCAGAUGAGCAGAGUUACAGAGCCAGAAGUACAAGAGGCUACAGGCACCACUUGGGCAGCAGAAGUGAGGUUCAUUUGAAAAAGCUUGAGUGACUCACAUCAGAAUCAUGAGUGUGCAAUUUGGAAACUGGACUAUUUCUCAGAGCUCUGCUUCGUGGUCAACUCAAAGUUCCUGUCAGCAAGGGAGAGUUGGCAGUUGGGAGGCAAUGUUUAUUUCAUAUAAUUAUCUGGUACCCCACUAUCAGCAUCAUAAACAUGUAGCUCAGGUUUUAUGUUACUUGAUAAUUACCAAAUUUCUUGUUCCAGAGUGGAGAUAAUGGGGAAAAGGAAUGUGGUGUUAAAAGAAACAAACAGUAAAGAAAAGAAAAAAGAAAGCCUUGAAACGCUGUAGGCUGAUGAGCAUCCGUGGCUGAAUUUGCCUUGAUAAUAGGGUUAAUAGCAUGCCGAUAUUUUAAGAAACACACAGUUGAAAACAAAUAGCUAUUAUAAGUGGCAUUCCGCCUUCAGCAUCAAUCUUAUUGAGAAUAAUACAUUGAUAAAUUUCAAUCCCAUUACACUUCCCAGCUUGUAAUAGUCCCUGGGAAAUACAAAAUACUGAAUAAAAAAGAUGGCUAAACUAGGGGCAAAACUUAGCUUGUUAAGAACUUACAUAGUGUGUAUGAGACACAAGGUGCCAUUCCUGCACUGCCAAAGGAAGUAAAAAGGUAAGAGGCUUCCCUUGUCUUAUCCCACCCCUCCCUUUGCAAUAGGUCUCUUCUACAGGUGUUCUGACAUCUUGACAUUUUUCUAUUCAAUCAUUAGCCAAGUCUACUUACCACUCAGGGACUAUUCCUCAGAUGCCUCCAAUGUAUCUUGACAUAACAGUGAAGACAGCAUAUAACUCAUUAUAGAGUUAAUUUAAAGAGACAUAUAUCAUGUUAGAGGUUAUUGAAGGAAGAAAAGGGAACUGAGGUACUCAAUUAUUGCAAUGAAUUAAACUGCCUUUGUUCCUGGUUUAGGGCACACUGCACCCUCCCAUGAGCUCUCUGGAUUCAUGAAUGAAGGAUACACACCGCCACCACCACCACCACCACCACCACUACCAUCAUCAUCAUCAUCAUCAUCAUCAUCAUCAUCAUCAUCAGCAGCAGCAGCAGCAGCAGCAGCAGCAGCAGCAAAUUUCGAUAUGCCUUGACUAGCUCCAUACUGAGCACUUCUAAACCUCCCUGUGACUAGCAAACACUCCCCUCUGAUGAAAAUGUCCCUGGGGACUGACUCGGAUGAUGAGAAAGACUUUUAGAAGGUAUGUAGUGAAAAGUCAUGACAGGUGUAUCAGUCAUGAAUCACAGGACUUCACGUCAUGAGUACUCCUGCUCUUUGGGACUGAGGACUUUUGACCUCAAUCCUCCCUCAGACUCAGGAAACUCUCGACACAAGUGAUGACAGAACUUGUGAGAUGGGGAUUGUGAUAAUGGACAUUGCUUAUGGCAAGUGGUGUGACAUUUCUCAAAUGCAUCUUGGACUGACUAGAAUGCGACCACACUGCAGACCUCUCUGCACUAAGCAGAAGCGACCUGGGUGAAGAACUUGCUCUGAAAUAACCCAACCCUUCAAGGGUGGAAGGGGAAUUGAACCUUGGUUUCUUUCUUGAAUGUUAUUUCAGGGAGGAAAUGCCUAUGCAAUUAUCAAGCGCACAUUGAAUUAUUAAAUGCUGCCUGUUUACCUGUACAGA